UCCUUCUUGAGUAAUGAUUGAAGCUAUUCAUGUUUAGUAUCCGACUGUUGCCUAGUAAUGUCCAAGAUCUAUUGUGUACUCGGUCUUGGAUAUAUGGUUAUAUGCUUGAUGAUGAAGAUGAUAAUGGCGAAGGUGAGACUGUUGUAAUUAGAUCGAGGCCAACUGAUGUUGAAGACGUGAUCACGCAUCCACCAGAAUAAGUCUCAUUUAUUGUUCUUGAUCUCUAACAGGUUUACCUCGAGCUCCCCAAUGGUAAAGAAUUAGCUUAAGCACUCUACUCUAAGGUACACCAUUCCUGAUAUGCAUCUAGCUCUGUUUUGAUUUUCUUUUCUUUUCCUUUCAUGUUGUUCUUUAUGACCACUUUGUCUCUAUUCAUUUAACCCAAUGGCUAUGUUAAAAGUCUAGGAAAAGAAUGAUUAUUUUGUGUGGCUCUUUC